CGUAGGCGGUCUCUUAAGUCAGGUGUGAAAGCCCGGGGCUCAACCCCGGAAGUGCACUUGAAACUAGGAGACUUGAGUAUGGGAGAGGGAAGUGGAAUUCCUGGUGUAGCGGUGAAAUGCGUAGAUAUCAGGAGGAACACCGGUGGCGAAGGCGACUUCCUGGACCAAUACUGACGCUGAGGCGCGAAGGCGUGGGGAGCAAACA
rnacentral:rRNA from 1 species